AUUGAACGCUGGCGGCAGGCCUAACACAUGCAAGUCGAACGGUAACAGGAAGAAGCUUGCUUCUUUGCUGACGAGUGGGGGACGGGUGAGUAAUGUCUGGGAAACUGCCUGAUGGAGGGGGAUAACUACUGGAAACGGUAGCUAAUACCGCAUAACGUCGCAAGACCAAAGAGGGGGACCUUCGGGCCUCUUGCCAUCGGAUGUGCCCAGAUGGGAUUAGCUAGUAGGUGGGGUAACGGCUCACCUAGGCGACGAUCCCUAGCUGGUCUGAGAGGAUGACCAGCCACACUGGAACUGAGACACGGUCCAGACUCCUACGGGAGGCAGCAGUGGGGAAUAUUGCACAAUGGGCGCAAGCCUGAUGCAGCCAUGCCGCGUGUAUGAAGAAGGCCUUCGGGUUGUAAAGUACUUUCAGCGGGGAGGAAGGGAGUAAAGUUAAUACCUUUGCUCAUUGACGUUACCCGCAGAAGAAGCACCGGCUAACUCCGUG
rnacentral:rRNA from 1 species